UCCCGGGUAGCGCAGUGGUCAACGCACCUGCCUAUUAAGUAGGAGAUCCCGGGUUCCAAUCCUGGUCCGGAAC